CUUGAUACUGGAGGUCCGUCCCUGCUGUUGGUGCAUUAUCAUCCACCGUCCUCCUUUCAGCCCGUGCCUCUUAGAGACGGCUGGGCUGGCGGAGAGAAGUGUCUCUGCAGCAGGCUGCAGCUCGCCUGCCGAAAUGCGGCUGGACCGGCACCUGUGAUCCGAGUGGAUCAGCUUCACUGUCUGCUCAACUUUCCGACAGCCUGUCGGCUCUCCCUGCUUUGAAAAGCUCUUCUCAAAGUGACCACGGUCGUGUUCGACCCAGUGAGCCGCCAUGACAUCUAAGGACUCCUCCAAAUGCCCAGCAGGGCUCGAGGAGCGGCGCCGCAGCCCGCUGGAUCAGCUCCCGCCACCGACCAGCUCCAACAAGCCGUUGACACCUUUCAGCAUCGAAGACAUCCUCAACAAGCCGUCAGUAAGGAGCGGAGCGGCACGCAACGGCUUUUCCGGAGAGAAGCUGCCUCUGGCGGGGAACAAGCUAUCCUGCCUGCCGCUGCUAACUCACAGCUCCCCGCUGUGCGCGCUGGAGGAACUGGCCAGCAAAACAUUCAGUGGCCUGGAGGUCAGCGUACUGCAGGCGGCCGAGGGCCGCGACGGCCUGACGCUCUUCGGCCAAAGAAACGCCCCAAAGAAGCGGCGGAAGUCCCGGACGGCGUUUACAAACCACCAGAUCUACGAGCUGGAGAAACGCUUCCUGUACCAGAAGUACCUGAGCCCAACGGACCGGGACCAGAUCGCCCAGCAGCUAGGUCUGACCAACGCGCAGGUUAUCACCUGGUUUCAGAACCGGCGGGCGAAGCUCAAGCGGGACCUGGAGGAGAUGAAAGCUGAUGUGCAGUCCGCCUCGGCGGUGUCCGGCGCUGUUGCCCUGGAGAAGCUCUCCGAUCUGGCCGAGCUAAAGAAGUGCACUGACGGCGUAAUCGGCGCUGGGACUCUUCCCGAGCUUGACCCGGAAUCCAGGUCAUGCCUUGCCGCCGUGGGGAGCCUGGCUUCCAGCAGAGCGCCUCUCUCCCCCGCAGCGCCGCGGCUCACAGACCGGCUCAGCAGCAAGGGCUGCUCGGAGGAUGAAGAUGAAGAAAUUGACGUGGAUGACUGAAGUGUGUCAUUGUCACAGCAGUGUGAAGGGCAGAUGUCUGCAGACAAAAACGUUGGCUUUACGCGCUCUCCGCUGAGGAACAGGCGCGCGAAGCGUUCCGCAGAGACGUGCAGGUGUGCAGUGCGGCUCUCAGCGCACAAUGGAGGCCGGAGAAAAGCGUUUCAGGGCCAUAUGGUUCACAGACUCUCCUAUCAAUCACGAGUCACUUUGAUUGAUUGUGUUAACCCGUCUUUUCAUGGAUGGAGCCCCCUUUGUGUCGCACAGAGAGCAGACACACUCGCUGGUAAAACACGGCUAUGAAUGUGAAUAGAGAAUACACUGACUGAUAUUAUUAACGCUUUACAUCAUUAGCAAAGUACUGCAAAUGUUGUAUGCCUAUAAUCUAUAAUAUUAAUAAUUGAAGGUAAAACAAAUAAAAUUAAGAAGCAUGAAUGAAGUAUUUUUUUUCUGUAAUUCCCAUUAAAAUAGUUGAAGAGGGUCAUUCCAGAAUUGGUGGACAAUUUAGACAUCAAACUUUGAACAUGAACCCUUUAUUUUAUUUUAUGUUGUGUAUUUGAGAAAAACAGGUAACCAUCAAACCACCACCCGUUCAUUUUGAUUUAGAUGUUAAGGAAAAAAUAUUUAAAUAAUAACUGGAACCUUAACAUGUUUAGGCUCCCUGGUGCGAAUAACAAAAUAGGCAAUUAAUAUUCUGGGAAAAUACAGUAGAUUAGUACAUUGAAAACAUAGAUUAUGCUAAACCAGGGAUGUCCACUGAGGGCCGCAUACAGAAAAUAUACGAAGGUCUGGGCCCCUCACUAGAGGUAAGUUACCUCAUAAGUGAAGUUAUAGUUAGCAAAAUCAAUGAAAUCUAGGGAAAUGAUUCUUGACAAUAAA